GAUGAACGCUGGCGGCGUGCCUAAUACAUGCAAGUCGAGCGAACAGACGAGGAGCUUGCUCCUCUGACGUUAGCGGCGGACGGGUGAGUAACACGUGGAUAACCUACCUAUAAGACUGGGAUAACUUCGGGAAACCGGAGCUAAUACCGGAUAAUAUAUUGAACCGCAUGGUUCAAUAGUGAAAGACGGUUUUGCUGUCACUUAUAGAUGGAUCCGCGCCGCAUUAGCUAGUUGGUAAGGUAACGGCUUACCAAGGCAACGAUGCGUAGCCGACCUGAGAGGGUGAUGCGGCACACUGGGACUGAGACGCGGUCCAGACUCCUAGGGGAGGCAGAGGUAGGGAAUCUUCCGCGAUGGGCGAAAGCCUGACGGAGCAACGCCGCGUGAGUGAUGAAGGUCUUCGGAUCGUAAAACUCUGUUAUUAGUGAAGAACACAUGUGUAAGUAACUAUGCACGUCUUGACGGUACCUAAUCAGAAAGCCACGGCUAACUACGUG
rnacentral:rRNA from 1 species